UGGGGAAUUUUGCGCAAUGGGCGAAAGCCUGACGCAGCAACGCCGCGUGGAGGAUGAAGGUCUUUGGAUUGUAAACUCCUGUCAGCAGGGAAAAAGGCGGAUGGCCACACCAUCCGAUUGAUUGUACCUGCAGAGGAAGCCCCGGCUAACUCUGUGCCAGCAGCCGCGGUAAUACAGAGGGGGCAAGCGUUAUUCGGAAUUAUUGGGCGUAAAGGGCGCGUAGGUGGUGGGACAAGUGGAAGGUGAAAUCCCUCGGCUCAACCGAGGAACUGCCCUCCAAACUGUUUCACUUGAGUCCGGGAGAGGUGAGUGGAAUUCCCAGUGUAGCGGUGAAAUGCGUAGAUAUUGGGAGGAACACCAGUGGCGAAGGCGGCUCACUGGACCGGAACUGACGCUGAGGCGCGAAAGCGUGGGGAGCAAACAGG
rnacentral:rRNA from 1 species